GUGAAUCAUCGAAUCUUUGAACGCACAUUGCGCUCCCUGGUAUUCCGGGGAGCAUGCCCGUUUCAGAAUCAUAAAAACAUCUCAUCAUCACUGAUGGUGGACGAUGGAUCAUUUGAGCUGUCACAGCACAAUUAUCUGAAAAUGAUUGUGCGCGCUCCGACUGUUGUCGGUUGGCUCUAAAGGUGCAACAAGAUUAACAUCUAUUCAUCUCUCAGAGUCGAUCAUAUGCGACAUUGGUGGCGAGCACUCCAUACUUUAUAAGGUUGGGAAGCUGAGCUGAACAACCUGUUAACUUGGUCU
rnacentral:misc_RNA from 1 species